rnacentral:rRNA from 1 species
AUGGGAACGCGAAGAACCUUACCUAGACUUGACAUCUCCUGAAUAGUGUAGAGAUACAUGAAGCCCUUCGGGCGAGGAAGACAGGUGGUGCAUGGUUGUCGUCAGCUCGUGUCGUGAGAUGUUGGGUUAAGUCCCGCAACGAGCGCAACCCUUAUUACUAGUUGCUACCAUUAAGUUGAGCACUCUAGUGAGACUGCCCGGGUUAACCGGGAGGAAGGCGGGAAUGACGUCAAAUCAUCAUGCCCCUUAUGUCUAGGGCAACACACGUGCUACAAUGGUGAGUACAGAUAGAUGCGAUACCGCAAGGUGGAGCCAAACUCUAAAACUCAUCCCAGUUCGGAUUGUAGGCUGCAACUCGCCUACAUGAAGUUGGAGUUGCUAGUAAUCGCGAAUCAGAAUGUCGCGG